rnacentral:rRNA from 1 species
UACGGGGGGGGCAAGCGUUGUUCGGAAUUACUGGGCGUAAAGGCUCGUAGGCGGCCAACUAAGUCAGACGUGAAAUCCCUCGGCUUAACCGGGGAACUGCGUCUGAUACUGGAUGGCUUGAAUCCGGGAGAGGGAUGCGGAAUUCCAGGUGUAGCGGUGAAAUGCGUAGAUAUCUGGAGGAACACCGGUGGCGAAGGCGGCAUCCUGGACCGGCAUUGACGCUGAGGAGCGAAAGCCAGGGGAGCAAACGGGG